AGGAGAUCGUCUACAGGGAUUUGAAGCCGGAGAACAUCCUGCUGGAUAGGGAUGGUCACAUCAAGCUCACGGACUUUGGGUUUGCCAAGAAGCUGGUAGACAGACAGGGUCUCAUCCUGUCACCCAAGCUGAAGUGCCGUUGCACAAUCUUGUCUCACUACAGCCUCAAACUCCUCGGCUCAAGUGAUCCUCCCUCCUCAGCCUCUGAAGUAGCUGGGACUACAGGCAUGUGCCACCAUACCAGGCUAAUUUUUUUAUUUUUAAUUUUAGAGAUGUGAUCUCACUUUAUUGCUCAGGCUGGUCUUGAACUCUUGGCCCCAAGAUAUCGUCCCACCUCAGCUUCCCAAAGCACUGGAAUUAGAAGCAUGUGCCACUGUGCCUGGCCAAUUCUAUUUUUGAAUUUAACAUUUUUAGCACCAGACAGUUGUUAAAUCAGUAUCAUUUUAUUAUUUGUUUAUUUAUUUAGAUGGAGUCUCACUC
rnacentral:lncRNA from 1 species